UAAAUGGGGCACCUGAUCUGCCAUGCCGCGUGAGCGAUGAAGGCCUUAGGGUUGUAAAGCUCUUUCGCUGGGGAAGAUAAUGACGGUACCCAGUAAAGAAGCCCCGGCUAACUCCGUGCCAGCAGCCGCGGUAAUACGA
rnacentral:rRNA from 1 species